rnacentral:rRNA from 1 species
AUUGAACGCUGGCGGCGUGCUUAACACAUGCAAGUCGAUCGGUAACAGGUGUAGCAAUACAUGCUGACGAGAGGCGGACGGGUGAGGAACGCUUGGGAAUCUGCCUAUCAGCGGGGGACAACCCGGGGAAACCCGGGCUAAUACCGCAUACGCUCUACGGAGGAAAGCCGGGGACCGCAAGGCCUGGCACUGAUAGAUGAGCCCAAGUCGGAUUAGCUAGUUGGCGGGGUAACGGCCCACCAAGGCGACGAUCCGUAGCUGGUCUGAGAGGACGAUCAGCCACACCGGAACUGAGACACGGUCCGGACUCCUACGGGAGGCAGCAGUGGGGAAUAUUGGACAAUGGGCGAAAGCCUGAUCCAGCGACGCCGCGUGGGUGAAGAAGGCCUGCGGGUUGUAAAGCCCUUUCGGUAGGGACGAAAGCUCUCGACCUAACACGUCGGGAGGUUGACUUAACCUACAAAAGAAGCACCGGCUAACUCUGUGCCAGCCGCCGCGGUAAUAC